AAAACCUUUAACAACGGAUCUCUUGGUUCUGGCAUCGAUGAAGAACGCAGCGAAAUGCGAUAAGUAAUGUGAAUUGCAGAAUUCAGUGAAUCAUCGAAUCUUUGAACGCACAUUGCGCCCGCCAGCAUUCUGGCGGGCAUGCCUGUUCGAGCGUCAUUUCAACCCUCAAGCACUGCUUGGC
rnacentral:rRNA from 1 species